UCCCUUCGCAGGAUGAAUUUUAUAUUUCAUAGAUUUUUUUGGGAACAAACACAUUUGGACACCAUCCUUUUAUGUUUAUGAUAUUAAAUAUAAUAUUAAAAUUAAUUGCAAGGAUAACACUCGCAAACAUCAUUACAACAUCUAGGAAAGCCAACUCGACACAUUCUUUCACAUGGCGUUCCAUUGGGACCACACGAUUCGUUGGACAUUAACGAGCCUUUGUCAGCCAAAACCGAUGAGAUAAACAAACCUGAAAAUUAAAGUAUAUUCCAUUAGAGAUAAACAGGGAAGAUGAUGGUAAUUAGAGUGCUAGCUAUUGAGACAAACAAAAGACUACGUACCAGACAUGGAAACCAAUAACAUGACCAUGAACACCAUCUUCAAAUUUUGCUCCAUCUUUUAAGCGAUCGUUUUAAAAGCAAAACGAAAGAAGUUAG
rnacentral:lncRNA from 1 species